rnacentral:rRNA from 1 species
AUGCAGCGCAGCAUCACAACCUUGAUGGAAGGGGGCCAGGACAUGAAGGGAAAAGCUCCUGCCCAUAUCGAUUCAAGAGGAGAGGAGGGCCAUGGAGGGAGAAGCCUGCUGCUGCAAUACGUACCUUGUCGUCCUCAUGCAGGUGGGGUGUACUUGAGGUCUGGGAGAUCCAUGUUCUCCGGGCAACUGAAAAGAACUUUCAAGAUUGUUUUAAAGAAGGGCUAUUGGAAAAAGAUGUGUGAGAGUAUUAGUGACUCAUGUGUGGGCAUGCCGCACCUUUCAGGUAGCAGAUGCAGAGGGAGUAAUGGGCGAGGAGAUGAACCUAGGCGAGCAAAAUUGAGAACUCUAGCUAAAGCAGCUCCUGCCCAGCGGCGAGGACUUCAGCGGCAGCAACACCUGUGCAUGGGGAGGAACAGCCCCUGGGCGCGCGCAGGCAGCAGCUCGCCUCCACCAGCGGGCGACAGCAGAGCACCAGCUCGCCUCCACCAGCGGCCGGCAGCAGAGCAGCAGCUCGUCUCCACCAGCGGGCGGUAG